UACGUAGGUGGCAAGCGUUGUCCGGAAUUAUUGGGCGUAAAGCGCGCGCAGGUGGUUUCUUAAGUCUGAUGUGAAAGCCCACGGCUCAACCGUGGAGGGUCAUUGGAAACUGGGAGACUUGAGUGCAGGAGAGGAGAGUGGAAUUCCAUGUGUAGCGGUGAAAUGCGUAGAUAUAUGGAGGAACACCGGUGGCGAAGGCGGCCUUCUGGCCUCUACCUGACGCUGAGGAGCGAAAGCCAGGGGAGCGAACGGG
rnacentral:rRNA from 1 species